UACGUAGGGUGCAAGCGUUAUCCGGAAUUAUUGGGCGUAAAGAGCCCGUAGGCGGUUUGUCACGUCUGCUGUGAAAACUGGAGGCUCAACCUCCAGCCUGCAGUGGGUACGGGCAGACUAGAGUGCGGUAGGGGAGAUUGGAAUUCCUGGUGUAGCGGUGGAAUGCGCAGAUAUCAGGAGGAACACCGAUGGCGAAGGCAGAUCUCUGGGCCGUAACUGACGCUGAGGAGCGAAAGCAUGGGGAGCGAACAGG
rnacentral:rRNA from 1 species